UUGGUCACUCAGGGGUCACUGUGGUCACUCAUUGGUCACUCAUUGGUCACUCAGGGGUCACUCAGGGGUCAGAGGUCACUCAGGGGUCACUCAGGGGUCAGUCAGGGGUCACUCAUUGGUCACUCAGGGGUCAGAGGUCACUCAGUGGUCACUCAGAGGUCAGUGGUCACUCAGUGGUCACUCAUGGUCACUCAGGGUCACUCAGCGGUCACUCAGAGGUCACUCAGGGGUCACUCAGGGGUCACCCAGAGGUCAGAGGUCACUCAGGGGUC